rnacentral:rRNA from 1 species
CCUACGGGAGGCAGCAGUGGGGAAUAUUGGACAAUGGGGGGAACCCUGAUCCAGCGACGCCGCGUGAGUGAAGAAGGAUCUAGGUAUGUAAAGCUCUAUCAGCAGGGAAGAAAAUGACGGUACCUGACUAAGAAGCCCCGGCUAACUACGUGCCAGCAGCCGCGGUAAUACGUAGGGGGCAGCGUUAUCCGGAUUUACUGGGUGUAAAGGGAGCGUAGACGGUGCAGCAAGUCUGAUGGUAAAGGUCGGGGCCCAACCCCGGGACUGCAUUUGAAACUGUUGUACUGGAGUACAGGAGAGGUAAGCGGAAUGCGUGGUGUAGCGGUGAAAUGCGUAGAUAUUAGGAGGAACACCAGUGGCGAAGGCGGCUUACUGGAGUGUAACUGACGUUGAGGCACGAAAGCGUGGGGAGCGAACAGGAUUAGAUACCCGUGUAGUC